rnacentral:rRNA from 1 species
GAUGAACGCUGGCGGCGUGCCUAACACAUGCAAGUCGAGCGGAGAUUUCUGAAGUAGAAAUGCGGAAGGGAUCUUAGCGGCGGACGGGUGAGUAACACGUGAGCAAUCUGCCUUCAGCUGGGGAAUAACAUUGUGAAAACAAUGCUAAUACCGCAUGAAAUGUUGCCGGGGCAUCCCGGAGACAUCAAAGGAGCAAUCCGGCAGGAGAUGAGCUCGCGUCCGAUUAGGUAGUUGGUGAGGUAAAGGCCCACCAAGCCGACGAUCGGUAGCCGAACUGAGAGGUUGAUCGGCCACAUUGGGACUGAGACACGGCCCAGACUCCUACGGGUGGCAG